rnacentral:rRNA from 1 species
GGCUCGCACUGGCNGCUAUGUUAAAGUUGUUGCAGUUAAAUAGUUCGUAGUUGAACUUCGGGGUUCACCCAUUGGUCAGGCUUAAUUGUCUGUACUGGUGAGAUGAAUCUCUACCUUCUGAGGAACUUUCAUGCCAUUUAUUUGGUGUGAUUGGAAAAUNCAGGAACUGUUACUUUG